CCUACGGGAGGCAGCAGUGAGGAAUAUUGGUCAAUGGGAGAGAUCCUGAACCAGCCAAGCCGCGUGAGGGAAGACGGCCCUAUGGGUUGUAAACCUCUUUUGUCGGAGAACAAAACCCGGGACGUGUCCCGGACUGCGUGUAUCCGAAGAAAAAUCAUCGGCUAACUCCGUGCCAGCAGCCGCGGUAAUACGGAGGAUGCGAGCGUUAUCCGGAUUUAUUGGGUUUAAGGGGUGCGUAGGCGGUCCGUUAAGCCAGCGGUAAAAGUGCGGGGCUCAACCCCGUCGAGCCGUUGAAACUGGCAGACUUGAGUUGGCGAGAAGUACGCGGAAUGCGCGGUGUAGCAGUGAAAUGCAUAGAUAUCGCGAGGAACUCCGAUUGCGAAGGCGGCGUACCGGCGCCAGACUGACGCUGAGGCACGAAAGCGUGGGGAUCGAAAGGGAUUAGAUACCCUUGUAGUC
rnacentral:rRNA from 1 species